AUUGAACGCUGGCGGCAUGCCUUACACAUGCAAGUCGAACGGCAGCACGGGAGCAAUCCUGGUGGCGAGUGGCGAACGGGUGAGUAAAGUAUCGGAACGUGCCCAGUCGUGGGGGAUAACGUAGCGAAAGUUACGCUAAUACCGCAUACGAACUAUGGAUGAACGCGGGGGAUCGCAAGAUCUCGCGCGAUUGGAGCGGCCGAUAUCAGAUGAGGUAGUUGGUGGGGUAAAGGCUCACCAAGCCGACGAUCUGUAGCUGGUCUGAGAGGACGGCCAGCCACACUGGGACUGAGACACGGCCCAGACUCCUAUGGGAGGCAGCAGUGGGGAAUUUUGGACAAUGGGCGAAAGCCUGAUCCAGCCAUGCCGCGUGCAGGAUGAAGGCCUUCGGGUUGUAAACUGCUUUUGUACGGAACGAAAAGGUUUGGCCUAAUAAGCUGAGCUCAUGACGGUACCGUAAGAAUAAGCACCGGCUAACUACGUGCCAGCAGCCGCGGUAA
rnacentral:rRNA from 1 species